rnacentral:tRNA from 3 species
AGGGGAGUAGCUCAAUUGGUAGAGUAGCGGUCUCCAAAACCGUUGGUUGCGGGUUCGAGUCCUGCCUCCCCUGCCA